UUGUCUCAAAGAUUAAGCCAUGCAUGUCUCAGUACAAGCCGAAUUAAGGUGAAACCGCGAAAGGCUCAUUAAAUCAGUUAUGGUUCCUUAGAUCGUACCCACAUUUACUUGGAUAACUGUGGUAAUUCUAGAGCUAAUACAUGCAAACAGAGCUCCAACCGGAAACGGAAGGAGCGCUUUUAUUAGAUCAAAACCAAUCGGUGGCGCUCUCCGUCAUCGUACAACUUGGUGACUCUGAAUAACUUUACGCUGAUCGCACGGUCUCGCACCGGCGACGCAUCUUUCAAAUGUCUGCCUUAUCAACUGUCGAUGGUAGGUUCUGCGCCUACCAUGGUUGUAACGGGUAACGGGGAAUCAGGGUUCGAUUCCGGAGAGGGAGCCUGAGAAACGGCUACCACAUCCAAGGAAGGCAGCAGGCGCGCAAAUUACCCACUCCCGGCACGGGGAGGUAGUGACGAAAAAUAACGAUACGGGACUCAUCCGAGGCCCCGUAAUCGGAAUGAGUACACUCUAAACCCUUUAACGAGGAUCAAUUGGAGGG
rnacentral:rRNA from 1 species